rnacentral:rRNA from 1 species
UACGUAGGGUGCAAGCGUUAAUCGGAAUUACUGGGCGUAAAGCGUGCGCAGGCGGUUUUGUAAGUCUGUCGUGAAAUCCCCGGGCUCAACCUGGGAAAUUGCGAUGGAGACUGCAAGGCUAGAAUCUUGGCAGAGGGGGGUAGAAUUCCGACGUGUGAGCAGUGAAAUGCGCAGAUAUCAGGAGGAACACCGGUGGCGAAAGGCGGAUCUCUGGGCCUGUUCUGACGCUGGAGGCGACGAAAGC